rnacentral:lncRNA from 1 species
GCAGCCAAAGAUGGAAAGAAGCUAUCCAUUGCUCUGGAAUUCUCCAUCUGUCCUACUGGGCCCCAAGAUAAGACUGAGGAAUUCCUUCAUGUGAAGUCACCAGGCUUUGAAAACCUUGCAGACAGUACCUGUGGGGAUGUUCUUACCUUUGCAUGUGGCCUCUAGGACCUUGUGUACCGAACAAGCUCCCUGCACCCCUAGUCCUGGUCCAGUGCCACUGAAGAUCCUGGGGACCACCAUCCUGAUUUGGCGAGCGGUUCUAGGCUAAAGAGAGAGAACGUAACUUAGGACUACAGCCCCUCACCCAUCAAGUGCCAAGCGUCAAAUGUAAUGAAGAUGAAAGUGUGCCAUUGUCUCUGUUCUUAGCUCCAGGGUCUUGUCUCAGAGACUUCC